AUAAUACUCCCUCCGUUUGGAAUUAUUUGUCACAGAAAUGAAUGUAUCUAGACGUAUUUUAAUUGUAGAUACAUCCAUUUUUAUCCACUUUUAAGACAAAUAAUUUGGAACGGAGAGAGUAGGUU
rfam:Triticum aestivum genome assembly, contig: Triticum_aestivum_CS42_TGACv1_scaffold_375366_5AL